GUAGAUCCUUGCUCGCUGCCUCACAGUGAGAGAGAGAUCCAGGAAGUUGUUGCCAACUUCUUAGACAUCGUAUCAUUACGGCGUAGGAUGACGAGGCAAAGAAGACUGGCAAAGGGAAGACGAAGAAGAAGCCAGAGAGAGAACAAGCGAAGGAGGAGGAGAAAGACAGUCAGGUGCAGCAGAAGGAGGAAAUGGUGGAAAGUAAGCCAGAAGACAAUAAAAAGUCAGGGUUGGGAGGAUGGCCCCUUCCCCAGAGGACCUCUACUUCUCCUCACUGCCCUUAAUGCUCUCUAGUGGAACACAAGUGUUGUUAUGAGUCAACCUGUUGCAACAUGUAACACACUGUGAGCCCUUACUGUGGAUCAUUUGUCUGAUGAUGC